GACGAACCGUGCAAACGUUAUUCGGAAUCACUGGGCUUAAAGGGCGCGUAGGCGGGCGAUCAAGUCCGGGGUGAAAUCCUCCAGCUUAACUGGAGAAGUGCCUCGGAUACUGGUCGCCUCGAGGAGGGUAGGGGCAUCUGGAACUAGCGGUGGAGCGGUGAAAUGCGUUGAUAUCGCUAGGAACUCCGAUGGCGAAGGCAAGGUGCUGGACCCUUUCUGACGCUGAGGCGCGAAAGCCAGGGGAGCGAACAGG
rnacentral:rRNA from 1 species